rnacentral:rRNA from 1 species
UACGUAGGGUGCAAGCGUUGUCCGGAAUUAUUGGGCGUAAAGAGCUCGUAGGCGGUCUGUCGCGUCGGCUGUGAAAACCCGGGGCUCAACCCCGGGCCUGCAGUCGAUACGGGCAGACUAGAGUGCGGUAGGGGAGACUGGAAUUCCUGGUGUAGCGGUGAAAUGCGCAGAUAUCAGGAGGAACACCGGUGGCGAAGGCGGCCCGCUGGGCAACUGCUGACACUGAGGCGCGACAGCGUGGGGAGCAAACAGG